rnacentral:misc_RNA from 1 species
UCAAAUUACUCUUUUUUUUUUCCAGUCAAUUGUUGAUUUUUAAGGUCUACUGUAUAAAUAAUGUGUAGUUUCUUGACUAUCUAAACUAAAACUUACUACUUCUAAAAUCAUAGAUCGGUGGAGCAACUGGUAAAGGCUGAAUCUUUUUGUCUUUCUUUCAAUUCAAGAUUGUCUUUUUUUCAUUCUGCUUUGUUCGAAUUGAGUUGAUGGGUGUUUUGUGUUUUCUGAUUAAAGAAAAUUGAUGGGUGUUUUGUGAUAUGGGUCAGUGUUUUUGUGUGUAUACCUGUCUACAAGACUACUAAAUGUUUUGUUUGUACCUAAACUGCCUUAGUAUUUGUGAUCAUCAACCAGCACAAAUUUGCUCACUGAGUAGGUUGAUAGAUGGAAAGAAAUCACCUUUAGCAGGAUCUGAACCCAAUUUGUUUGUUGGUUAACUGUGCUCCUUCCCGGUUGGUGAGGAUUCGAUUUCCCACACUGUAAUCCCUCCAAUUCCUCCUUCUCCUGUCCCUAAUUUUUUUUUAUAAAAAAAAUCGGUUUCUUAUCAAGUAAUACCAAAUAUACCAGGUGAAAAGAAAUUAGUUUGCUGACUGCUGUAGGUUGUUCAGUUAGCUUUCUAAGGAGGAGGUUAUGAUUAUGUAGGGGUUGGAUUUUAGUUAGUCACACUAGUCCUUUUUAUAUGAGUGUUUUGUUUGUUUAUGCUGUAGCUUUUUGAGUUUCUGGAGGGGGAGGGGUUUACUGGGAAUUGAUGUGACUGAACCAUAACUAAACCCACUGGUGAAGAUAUGUAUCGUUAGGUAUAUGUUGUGUAUCUUUGGCGUGGUAUUGGAAGAGAAUUUUAUUGAAAAAAUAGAUUGGUGUAGUAUAUUUGUUGGUGUAUGAUUGCUUACCAAUUUGAGCUGUUGUUUACAAUUCCAAGACCUGGGAAUUCGCUGGAUGAUUUUAGUGUCUGCUUGAAUUUAUGGUGAGCAUCAUCUGUAAAAACAUGUGUUGAUGGUUGUUUUCUAUGGUUGUCGCACUCUGGAACCUUACUGUUUUUUCUUUUGGCGGUUGCAAAAUUUGAUCACUAUAGUGUCUUUAUGUAAUUCCAUCACAAUAAUCAUGGGUCUAAUAGGUCAUAAAUAAAGCUUUGUCUUUUCAUAUCAGCAAUAGCUAUUCCCAUACAAUGAAUUAAAGACUUUUUAUCAAUUCGAAGACUAAAUCACCCAAUAUCCUUAGACAAAUCACACACUUAACGUGACGUUUCAUGACCCAAGAUGAAAAUUCCUUUUCUUCAGCGUGUCUCACAUGUUUAAUUGUAAUCAUGUUUAUAGAAUCUAAGAUCCAAUGAUCUUUCCCUGGCUGUAUGUAUUUUCGCUUUUCAGGAAAAUCUGUUAGCUUGGAAGUUAUUGUUCUUUGCCUGAGCUACUAUUUUGGAGUCAGGUGCCUUCUUCUUAAUUUAGCUUGAGAAUGGAAAAUCCUGGAAAGAAGGUGUUGCUUACCUCCAACGGUGAUGAAAUUUGCAACAACAUUGCGUACCAUUUAGCUCAGAGGGGUUGCCAAUUGGUUUUGAUGGGAAAUGAGCGCCAAUUGAAGAGUGUAGCGGAGAAUAUAAAGCAAUCACUAAAGGGUAGUGUUGCCGUAGAAGUUGUGGGAUUGGAUAUGACGGAGGAUAGAGAAACUGCUUUUGAUGAAGCUGUGGACAAGGCAUGGAAGAUAUUUGGGAAGUUGGAUGCCUUGGUACACUGCUAUGCUUAUGAAGGGAAAAUGCAAGAUCCACUGCAGCUAAUUGAUGACGAGUUCAAAAAAAUUGUCAAAAUAAAUUUUAUGGCUGGAUGGUACCUGUUGAAAUGUAUCGGUAACAGAAUGCGAGACGGUAAAUCUGGAGGAUCCAUUGUAUUUAUGACCUCGAUCAUUGGUGCUGAGAGAGGAAUAUAUCAAGGAGCUGCUGCUUAUGGUUCAUGUGCCGCUGGAAUUCAGCAGCUGGUUAGGUUAUCUGCAAUUGAAUUGGGGAAGUACCAAAUCAGGGUGAAUGGCAUAUUGCGUGGCUUGCACCUCGAGGAUGAGUUUCCUUUGUCAGUGGGUAAGGAGAGAGCAGUGAAGUUGACCAAGGAAGCAGCGCCUCUAAAUCGAUGGCUUGAUCCUAAAAAGGAUCUGGCUUCCACUGUCAUCUAUUUAAUCAGUGAUGAUUCAAGAUACAUGACAGGAACCUCCAUCUUUGUUGAUGGUGCCCAGUCUCUAGUGAGGCCGCGAAUGCGCUCAUAUAUGUGAACUUUUCUAAUAUACAUGAAUGGAGAGCCAUAGACACUGGAAUUAUAUUAUAGUGUUGUGUAAAAACACAAGCAUAAGGAGAAGUACUAUGAGCUGUGUGGAUUUUCUUCUAUUGUAUUUGGUUUAAGGUUUCAAUAAUGAUGACAUUCUUCUUUUUCUCUUGUGAUUAAGUGAGAAUCUGUUGGUUCAUUGUCUCUCUUUAUUGCUGCAUAUUUGUAUCUAAUCUGAUUGUAAAAACAUUUCAAAAUCUA